rnacentral:rRNA from 1 species
UACGUAGGGUGCGAGCGUUGUCCGGAUUCAUUGGGCGUAAAGAGCGUGUAGGCGGCCAGGUAGGUCGGUUGUGAAAACUGGAGGCUCAACCUUCAGAGGUCGACCGAAACCAUCUGGCUAGAGUCCGGGAGAGGAGAGUGGAAUUCCUGGUGUAGCGGUGAAAUGCGCAGAUAUCAGGAAGAACACCCGUGGCGAAAGCGGCUCUCUGGAACGGUACUGACGCUGAGACGCGGAAGCGUGGGGAGCGAACAGG